GGUGAACGCUGGCGGCGUGCCUAAUACAUGCAAGUCGAGCGAACAGGCGAGGAGCUUGCUCCUCUGACGUUAGCGGCGGACGGGUGAGUAACACGUGGAUAACCUACCUAUAAGACUGGGAUAACUUCGGGAAACCGGAGCUAAUACCGGAUAAUAUAUUGAACCGCAUGGUUCAAUAGUGAAAGACGGUUUUGCUGUCACUUAUAGAUGGAUCCGCGCCGCAUUAGCUAGUUGGUAAGGUAACGGCUUACCAAGGCAACGAUGCGUAGCCGACCUGAGAGGGUGAUCGGCCACACUGGAACUGAGACACGGUCCAGACUCCUACGGGAGGCAGCAGUAGGGAAUCUUCCGCAAUGGGCGAAAGCCUGACGGAGCAACGCCGCGUGAGUGAUGAAGGUCUUCGGAUCGUAAAACUCUGUUAUUAGGGAAGAACAAAUGUGUAAGUAACUAUGCACGUCUUGACGGUACCUAAUCAGAAAGCCACGGCUAACUACG
rnacentral:rRNA from 1 species